UACGUAGGGGGCAAGCGUUGUCCGGAUUUAUUGGGCGUAAAGAGCGUGUAGGCGGCUUUACAGGUCCGUUGUGAAAACUCGAGGCUCAACCUCGAGACGCCGGUGGAAACCAUCUAGCUAGAGUCCGGAAGAGGCGAGUGGAAUUCCCGGUGUAGCGGUGAAAUGCGCAGAUAUCGGGAGGAACACCUAUGGCGAAGGCAGCUCGCUGGGACGUUACUGACGCUGAGACGCGAAAGCGUGGGGAGCAAACAGG
rnacentral:rRNA from 1 species